rnacentral:rRNA from 1 species
AGUGAACGCUGGCGGUAGGCCUAACACAUGCAAGUCGAACGGCAGCACAGUAAGAGCUUGCUCUUACGGGUGGCGAGUGGCGGACGGGUGAGGAAUACAUCGGAAUCUACUUUUUCGUGGGGGAUAACGUAGGGAAACUUACGCUAAUACCGCAUACGACCUACGGGUGAAAGCAGGGGAUCUUCGGACCUUGCGCGAUUGAAUGAGCCGAUGUCGGAUUAGCUAGUUGGCGGGGUAAAGGCCAACCAAGGCGACGAUCCGUAGCUGGUCUGAGAGGAUGAUCGGCCACACUGGAACUGAGACACGGUCCAGACUCCUACGGGAGGCAGCAGUGGGGAAUAUUGGACAAUGGGCGCGAGCCUGAUCCAGCCAUACCGCGUGUGUGAAGAAGGCCUUCGGGUUGUAAAGCCCUUUUGUUGGGAAAGAAAAGCAGCAGGUUAAUACCCCGCUGUUCUGACGGUACCCAAAGAAUAAGCACCGGCUAACUUCGUG